rnacentral:rRNA from 1 species
GCGGUUUGUCGCGUCUGCUGUGAAAUCCCGAGGCUCAACCUCGGGUCUGCAGUGGGUACGGGCAGACUAGAGUGCGGUAGGGGAGAUUGGAAUUCCUGGUGUAGCGGUGGAAUGCGCAGAUAUCAGGAGGAACACCGAUGGCGAAGGCAGAUCUCUGGGCCGUAACUGACGCUGAGGAGCGAAAGGGUGGGGAGCAAACAGGCUUAGAUACCCUGGCAGUCCACCCCGUAAACGUUGGGAACUAGUUGUGGGGUCCAUUCCACGGAUUCCGUGACGCAGCUAACGCAUUAAGUUCCCCGCCUGGGGAGUACGGCCGCAAGGCUAAAACUCAAAGGAAUUGACGGGGACCCGCACAAGCGGCGGAGCAUGCGGAUUAAUUCGAUGCAACGCGAAGAACCUUACCAAGGCUUGACAUAUACGAGAACGCUGCAGAAAUGUAGAACUCUUUGGACACUCGUAAACAGGUGGUGCAUGGUUGUCGUCAGCUCGUGUCGUGAGAUGUUGGGUUAAGUCCCGCAACGAGCGCAACCCUCGUUCUAUGUUGCCAGCACGUAAUGGUGGGAACUCAUGGGAUACUGCCGGGGUCAACUCGGAGGAAGGUGGGGAUGACGUCAAAUCAUCAUGCCCCUUAUGUCUUGGGCUUCACGCAUGCUACAAUGGCCGGUACAAAGGGCUGCAAUACCGUAAGGUGGAGCGAAUCCCAAAAAGCCGGUCCCAGUUCGGAUUGAGGUCUGCAACUCGACCUCAUGAAGCCGGAGUCGCUAGUAAUCGCAGAU